UAACACGUGAGUAACCUGCCCCCGAGAGCGGGAUAGCCCUGGGAAACUGGGAUUAAUACCGCAUAGUAUCGAAAGAUUAAAGCAGCAAUGCGCUUGGGGAUGGGCUCGCGGCCUAUUAGUUAGUUGGUGAGGUAACGGCUCACCAAGGCGAUGACGGGUAGCCGGUCUGAGAGGAUGUCCGGCCACACUGGAACUGAGACACGGUCCAGACACCUACGGGUGGCAGCAGUCGAGAAUCAUUCACAAUGGGGGAAACCCUGAUGGUGCGACGCCGCGUGGGGGAAUGAAGGUCUUCGGAUUGUAAACCCCUGUCAUGUGGGAGCAAAUUAAAAAGAUAGUACCACAAGAGGAAGAGACGGCUAACUCUGUGCCAGCAGCCGCGGUAAUACAGAGGUCUCAAGCGUUGUUCGGAAUCACUGGGCGUAAAGCGUGCGUAGGCUGUUUCGUAAGUCGUGUGUGAAAGGCGCGGGCUCAACCCGCGGACGGCACAUGAUACUGCGAGACUAGAGUAAUGGAGGGGGAACCGGAAUUCUCGGUGUAGCAGUGAAAUGCGUAGAUAUCGAGAGGAACACUCGUGGCGAAGGCGGGUUCCUGGACAUUAACUGACGCUGAGGCACGAAGGCCAGGGGAGCGAAAGGGAUUAGAUACCCCUGUAGUUCUGGCAGUAAACGGUGCACGCUUGGUGUGCGGGGAAUCGACCCCCUGCGUGCCGGAGCUAACGCGU
rnacentral:rRNA from 1 species